GCUCCGGAGGCCUAGUGGUAUAGCGUCCGCCUCGGAUGCGGGAGGUCGUGGGUUCUAGCCCUGGCCGAAUCA